UUUCUGUCCAUUUUUGAGCCAGCACUCCCUCUGCUGGCCAAAGAGGGUAUUUGCCUUUUAUUCUUUUUCUGGUGUUUUUCGUUGUGUUCCUUUCCAAGUAAAACGAAUAAGAACAACUUUAAGACAGUGUGGGUGGGAGAUGGUUACUUACAGUCUCAGCAAUUUCCGGUUGGACUCUGGUGGUUCUCACUGCUUAUUCUGGACCUCCCAUCUCUGUGUUUCAUGAUCGUCUUCCUCCGUGUGAUUGCCUUCAGCCGUCACCGGUCUGCUCUCCAACUUACCCUGCUCAGAAAAACAAAUAAUCGCAAGUUUCAACCUGCACAGAAACGUACCUCCACAGAUCCUAUUUCCCUCUCCAUGUUGAAACUUCUUUGAAUCGUAAGCUCAAACCUGCCAUUGAAUAAUCUGCAUCAUGCUGCUCGUCAACUGCUAGUCACUCUUCUCUUUCUCUCCAGACCUUCCUGAGAAAGCCAGAGAACCAGACUCACUAUUUUGCAGAUUUUGACCAUGUUCUUUAAAUAAACCUUUUACCUAUUUCAGAA